AGUUGAUCAUGGCUCAGAAUCACGCUGGCGGCGUGCCUCAGACAUGCAAGUCGAACGAUUAAGCUCCCUUCGGGGAGUGCAUAAAGUGGCGCACGGGUGAGUAACACGUAAGUAAUCUACCCUCGGGUGGGGAAUAACGUCCGGAAACGGACGCUAAUACCGCAUAAUGCAGCGGCACCGCAAGUGACAGUUGUUAAAGAUUUAUUGCCUGGGGAGGAGCUUGCGGCAGAUUAGCUUGUUGGUAAGGUAACGGCUUACCAAGGCUACGAUCUGUAUCCGGUCUAAGAGGACGGUCGGACACACUGACACUGAAUAACGGGUCAGACUCCUACGGGAGGCAGCAGUCGGGAAUUUUGGGCAAUGGGGGAAACCCUGACCCAGCAACGCCGCGUGAAGGAUGAAGUAUUUCGGUAUGUAAACUUCGAAAGAAUAGGAAGAAUUAAUGACGGUACUAUUUAUAAGGUCCGGCUAACUACGUGCCAGCAGCCGCGGUAAUACGUAGGGACCAAGCGUUGUUCGGAUUUACUGGGCGUAAAGGGCGCGUAGGCGGCGCGGUAAGUCACUUGUGAAAUCUCUGAGCUUAACUCAGAACGGCCAAGUGAUACUGCAGUGCUAGAGUGUGGAAGGGGCAAUCGGAAUUCUUGGUGUAGCGGUGAAAUGCGUAGAUAUCAAGAGGACACUGAGGUGAAGACGGGUUGCUGGCACACUGACGCUGAGGCGCGAGCCAGGGAGCAACGGAUAGAUACCCCGGUAGUCCUGGCCUAACGAUGACUACUUGGUGUCUGGAGUUAAU
rnacentral:rRNA from 1 species